UCUUUGUCAAACAAAUUAGUUAAAAGUAGGAACUACAUGCAAGCAUUCAGUUGCUCUGAAUUCCUCUAAGCAAGAAUCGUUUUAUACAUAAACAGAAGUUGUACAGAGUUAUACAAAUAAAAUACUUCAUAGAGAAGCAAGUUCCGUUCAAAAGAGUGAAAAGAACUAAUGAAACAUGCCUCGCUUAACUCAAGAUAGAGAGACGCGCAUUUACACUAAAUGGAUAAAUUCAAAGCU